AAGUCGUAACAAGGUCUCCGUAGGUAAACCUGCGGAGGGAUCAUUACACAAUAACAAGGCGGGCUAGACACCCCCCGCUAGGCACUGCUUCACGGCGUGCGCAGCAGAGCCGGCCCUGCUGAAUUAUUCACCCGUGUCUUUUGCGUACUUCUUGUUUCCUAGGUAGGCUCGCCCGCCCUCAGAACCAACCACAAACCUUUUGCAAUAGCAAUCAGCGUCAGUAACAACGUAAUUAAUUACAACUUUCAACAACGGAUCUCUUAGUUCUA
rnacentral:misc_RNA from 1 species